rnacentral:rRNA from 1 species
AGCGAACGCUGGCGGCAGGCCUAACACAUGCAAGUCGAACGAAGUCUUCGGACUUAGUGGCGGACGGGUGAGUAACACGUGGGAACGUGCCUUUAGGUUCGGAAUAACUCAGGGAAACUUGUGCUAAUACCGAAUGUGCCCUUCGGGGGAAAGAUUUAUCGCCUUUAGGGUGGCCCGCGGCUGAUUAGCUAGUUGGUGGGGUAAUGGCCCACCAAGGCUACGAUCAGUAGCUGGUCUGAGAGGAUGACCAGCCACAUUGGGACUGAGACACGGCCCAAACUCCUACGGGAGGCAGCAGUGGGGAAUCUUGCGCAAUGGGCGAAAGCCUGACGCAGCCAUGCCGCGUGGAUGAUGAAGGUCUUAGGAUUGUAAAAUCCUUUCACCGGUGAAGAUAAUGACUGUAGCCGGAGAAGAAGCUCCGGCUAACUUCGUGCCAGCCGCCGCCGUAACAC